rfam:Triticum aestivum genome assembly, contig: Triticum_aestivum_CS42_TGACv1_scaffold_080525_1DS
GAGGUACUCCCUCCGUCCGAAAAUACUUGUCAUCAAAAUGAAUAAAAGAAGUAUUUCCAGACGAUACAUCUUCUUUUAUUCAUUUUGAUGACAAGUAUUUUCGGACGGAGGGAGUACUUG